rnacentral:rRNA from 1 species
UACGUAGGCAGCGAGCGUUGUUCGGAGUUACUGGGCGUAAAGGGUGUGUAGGCGGUUGUUUAAGUUUGGUGUGAAAUCUCCCGGCUCAACUGGGAGGGUGCGCCGAAUACUGAAUGACUCGAGUGCGGGAGAGGAGAGUGGAAUUCCUGGUGUAGCGGUGAAAUGCGUAGAUAUCAGGAGGAACACCGGUGGUGUAAACGGCUUUCUGGACCAUAACUGACGCUGAGGCACGAAAGCGUGGGUAGCAAACAGG